UAGGGAAUCUUCGGCAAUGGACGAAAGUCUGACCGAGCAACGCCGCGUGAGGGAAGAAGGUUUUCGUAUCGUAAAACUCUGUUGUUAGAGAAGAACAAAGACGUUAGUAACUGAACGUCCCCUGACGGUAUCUAACCAGAAAGCCACGGCUAACUACGUGCCAGCAGCCGCGGUAAUACGUAGGUGGCAAGCGUUGUCCGGAUUUAUUGGGCGUAAAGCGAGCGCAGGCGGUUUCUUACGUCUGAUGUGAAAGCCCCCGGCUUAACCGGGGAGGGUCAUUGGAAACUGGGAGACUUGAGUGCAGAAGAGGAGAGUGGAAUUCCAUGUGUAGCGGUGAAAUGCGUAGAUAUAUGGGGGAACACCAGUGGCGAAGGCGGCUCUCUGGUCUGUACCUGACGCUGAGGCUCGAAAGCGUGGGAAGCAAACAGG
rnacentral:rRNA from 1 species